CCUACGGGUGGCAGCAGUGAGGAAUAUUGGUCAAUGGGCGUAAGCCUGAACCAGCCAAGUCGCGUGAGGGAUGAAGGUUCUAUGGAUCGUAAACCUCUUUUAUACGGGGAUAAAGGCAGAGACGUGUCCCGGUUUGUAUGUACCUUAUGAAUAAGGAUCGGCUAACUCCGUGCCAGCAGCCGCGGUAAUACGGAGGAUCCGAGCGUUAUCCGGAUUUAUUGGGUUUAAAGGGUGCGUAGGCGGCCUUUUAAGUCAGCGGUGAAAGUCUGUGGCUCAACCACAGAAUUGCCGUUGACACUGGUCGGCUAGAGAAUGUUUGAGGUAGGCGGAAUGUGUGGUGUAGCGGUGAAAUGCUUAGAUAUCACGCAGAACACCGAUUGCGAAGGCAGCCUGCCAAGCCACGACUGACGCUGAUGCACGAAAGCGUGGGGAUCAAACAGGAUUAGAUACCCCUGUAGUC
rnacentral:rRNA from 1 species